rnacentral:snRNA from 1 species
AGGCAUCAUUGCAGGAGCUUAAGCGGCUUCGCGAUUUGCAUGUUGUGAUGCUUCGUUUCCGCCGCCUUACGUUGAAGAAGCGUGCUUCAUUCAGACCUACAAUUAUGUUCACAUCAGAAUGCGUAGUCUU